CAAUAGCGUAUAUUAAAGUUGUUGCGGUUAAAAAGCUCGUAGUUGGAUUUCUGCUGAGGACGACCGGUCCGCCCUCUGGGUGAGUAUCUGGCUCGGCCUUGGCAUCUUCUUGGAGAACGCUAUUGUACUUGACUGUAUGGUGCGGUAUCCAAGACUUUUACUUUGAGGAAAUUAGAGUGUUUCAAGCAGGCGCACGCCUUGAAUACAUUAGCAUGGAAUAAUAAGAUAGGACCUCGGUUCUAUUUUGUUGGUUUCUAGAGCUGAGGUAAUUGAUUAAUAGGGAUAGUUGGGGGCAUUCGUAUUUAACUGUCAGAGGUGAAAUUCUUGGAUUUGUUAAAGACGGAUUACUGCGAAAGCAUUUGCCAAGGAUGUUUUCAUUGA
rnacentral:rRNA from 1 species